GGCUCAGAACGAACGCUGGCGGCACGCCUAACACAUGCAAGUCGAGCGCUCACUUCGGUGGGAGCGGCGGACGGGUUAGUAACGCGUGGGAACAUACCCAACACUACGGAAUAGCCACUGGAAACGGUGAGUAAUACCGUAUACGCCCUUCGGGGGAAAGAUUUAUCGGUGAUGGAUUGGCCCGCGUUAGAUUAGAUAGUUGGUGGGGUAACGGCCUACCAAGUCUACGAUCUAUAGCUGGUUUGAGAGGAUGAUCAGCAACACUGGGACUGAGACACGGCCCAGACUCCUACGGGAGGCAGCAGUGGGGAAUCUUAGACAAUGGGCGAAAGCCUGAUCUAGCGAUGCCGCGUGAGUGACGAAGGCCUUAGGGUCGUAAAGCUCUUUCGCCAGGGAUGAUAAUGACAGUACCUGGUAAAGAAACCCCGGCUAACUCCGUGCCAGCAGCCGCGGUAAUACGGAGGGGGUUAGCGUUGUUCGGAAUUACUGGGCGUAAAGCGCACGUAGGCGGAUUGGAAAGUUGGGGGUGAAAUCCCGGGGCUCAACCCCGGAACUGCCUCCAAAACUAUCAGUCUAGAGUUCGAGAGAGGUGAGUGGAAUUCCAAGUGUAGAGGUGAAAUUCGUAGAUAUUUGGAGGAACACCAGUGGCGAAGGCGGCUCACUGGCUCGAUACUGACGCUGAGGUGCGAAAGUGUGGGGAGCAAACAGGAUUAGAUACCCUGGUAGUCCACACCGUAAACGAUGAAUGCCAGACGUCAGGGGGCUUGCCCUUUGGUGUCACACCUAACGGAUUAAGCAU
rnacentral:rRNA from 1 species